rnacentral:lncRNA from 1 species
AUUUUCAGUUUAGUACAGUUCAGAUCGAUAUAUUUUGUUGGAGCCCUUCUGAAUGUUUGUUUGUGCUCAAAUUUGACAGUCAGGCUUGGUUAAAAUUAAUAAAAAGAACGUGAUCUUAACUUUUCAGUUUUGAACUAUUUUUGGUCACCGAAAAGUCUACCGACUAAAAUCGUUAGCAGAUAGCAGUCAGAUUUUGUUUUUCACUUUUCGGGUAUCGGAAUGACAUGAAACUUUAAAUUUAGUUUCCGAAAAAUAAUUCCGACAUAUUCUCAAAUUUUCAUAAUUUUCUGACACUGUGAAUUUUCUGCUAAAAGAUUCGCUCCGUUCCUUACAGAAAAUUCUAAAUCUUCUGUUUUUAUUUCAAUUUCACAACAAACUAUUUCUAAAUUAUCUUUUAUUUUUUUUCUAACCCAAUAAAAAUAGUAUUUCACACUAUUUUUAUUUACACUUGAUUUUACUAAAAUAUCCUUCAAAAUCUGCAUUUUGCAGAACUGCUGUCACACCCCAAUAAUCCCACAUCGGAUAGGAAUGGGGAUGUGAUUGGAUAUAUAAGAGACUUAGACACUAGUAAUAAUAACUGGACUUAAACAUUUUGGGCCGGUGGUUGGGGCCAACGAGUUAUUGUUGCUAGUGGGCUGGGUCGUUACAACUGCGUACGGUACUCGAGUUCACGUACCGGUACUCGGGUAGUUCCGGUACCCAGAGUCUAGUUCCUCAAAAUCCGAACGUUGGAUUUUCAAGAUUUCUACAGCGUACCGGUACUCGGUUUCUGCUAUCGGAAUAGCGGGAAUAACUUUCGUUAUCUCUGCUUAUACUCCAAAACAAACGAGGCCUUGGUAAACAAGUAGAG